AGAUAGUGUAGACAGAAAGAGCCGGUUGGUGCCCGGCUCACAAACCAAAUACACCCUCUCAAAGAGUGCUCAGUUUAAAUGGAUAUUUUUGCAACUAGGAGUUAAGCUGGAAACACGCAUGACUGAUCUGAACAUCUUAAAGAGUCUUGAGGAGAUCACAUGACUCUAUCGUCCUACACAAAGACAGAGGGUCAUGGCAGCACAAGUCCUGGGGUAUAUGGGCACAGCUAAGAAUGGCGUCACCCAGGGCAGAGCCCUCAGACUCUCUGCUGCUCGCUGUGCCAGAAACUCUGACAAAGACCUGCAGUGAAGCUGCCGUCUUCAGUUUUGGACUCAGACUCUGGAACAGUCUCCCCACUGAUCUGAGGACAGCAACUUCAAAUGAGCUGUUUAAGGCCCUACU